rnacentral:snRNA from 1 species
AUACUUACCUGGCAGGGGAAAUACCAUGAUCACAAAGGUGGUUUUCUCAGGCUGAGGCUCAUCCAUUGCACUUCGGGUGUGCUGAUCCCUGUGAUUUCCCCAAAUGUGGGAAACUUGACUGCAUAAUUUGUGGUAGUGGGGGGCUGUUUUGGUGCUUUCCUGUG